UUUUUCUUUUUUUGUUUAUGACAAUUGCAGAAAAUUUGAAAUAACAAAUUUGAUUCCCUCUCUCUCUCCCCCCCUCGGUUUCUCAGCAAUCUCAUCCUUAGAUCUGCCGAACCAACCAAUCUCACCACUCUGGUUUCUCCGUCGGCUGCUCCCAUACGGGAAAUGAAGCCCUUUGUAAAUUGUAAUAGUCUCACGCUCCAUACCCACCACUCUAGUCAUCAUUUCAUCUGUAGUGAAAGCCCCAAAUGGAUCGAAAACCGGCGACUUCGAUUAGCAAUCGGACUCGGAUUCAGAGUGGAUGAUAUCGUGAUCGGAAUCGAAAUCUUUGAGUUUAGGUAUUCUCGAGCGUCAUCGGGGUCGAUCUGGAUGUAGUCCAUGAGGAUUGAUUCUGGGUUUUUGCAAUUUUUAAUUUCCCAGAAUUGCAGAGAUGAGGGCUUGUCAUCAGAGUCCUUGAACGGUGCAAUCUGAUGAGGCUUCGAUCCGAUCCGCUUACGUCAUCAUGUUUCUCUUCGACUGGUUCUACGGCGUGCUCGCUUCCCUCGGUCUGUGGCAGAAGGAGGCCAAGAUCUUGUUCUUAGGGCUCGAUAAUUAAUGUCGGCAAGACCAGCUUGCUUCACAUGCUCAAAGAUGAGUUUGAAAGGUUCGAUUGAUUGGACAUUUUGAUCUGAACUUCUCAAGGGCUGUUCAUUAGUCUUCGAAAACAGAAAUUCACCUCAUCACAAGAACCUACUCUCCAGCAACUAAGGUGUUAGCAGACUUAACAGAAAAAGAAAUCUGGCCUGUAGUUUCUGUAACAAUUCAAUUUUCACAUAUUGGUGUUAUACAUGUAUCACUUCUUACUUUAGCAUUGUCUACUUUAGUUUAGUUUCUCAUGGUUCAUGUAAUCUUGACUUCAAGUUGUUCAUGAAUACAAAUGGCUAUAGUACCUCGCAGUGGAUAUAUGGAGCUUGGGAUGUACUAUUCUUCAAAUGGCGAGUUCAAAACCCCCAUGGAGCCAGUAUGAAGGGGUGAGCUAUACCGUUCAGAACCUAUUCCUUUACAAAAUUUCUUUUCUAUUACUAGCAUAAUGAAAAUACAAAAUUCCUUUUUUACAAUGUUUAUUUUGGAAUAAGCUGUAGCUGUUACACAAGCUCUGGUAGCAUACUUAUUUUGAUUUAACAAAUCCCACCUUCCAUGAGUGACUAGGAGCAGUUGACAUGUCUUUUUAGGAGCAACUCCAUGAAAAGAAGCAGGCCAUGCAUGCAGGAUUUGGAUAUGAAAUUACAAGAAAAAUAUAGAGAUCAAGCUGCAUCCUACCAAAUUAGAUAAUGAAGCGUGAACCAGUCACAGCCAACCCCAGAGCCAACCGUGGACAGCUCCAAAGAACUAAUGUAAAACUUUUGGUUAAGAUUACAAAUGUAAUAUAUUUUUCUUAAGACCAACUAUUUUUGUAACCAACAUAUAAAACACAAUGUUGGUUAGAAUAGCAAUUUUUCGAAGAAUGUAAAUAGAUAAGCUUGGUUAGCAUACCGGGUCUUGCUAAGAAUUUCAAUUUUUGGAAUAUGUAAAUAUAUUGUUCAAUUCAAGAAAAAAAAGAACCCGCGGCAUCGAGCGGGGGAAUGAUCUAGUUGAAUCUA